ACGCUCGACACCUACGGGAGCAGCAGUCGGGAAUAUUGCGCAAUGGAGGAAACUCUGACGCAGUGACGCCGCGUGCAAGAAGAAGGUUUUCGGAUUGUAAACUGCUUUAGACAGGGAAGAAAAAGGACAGUACCUGUAGAAUAAGCUCCGGCUAACUACGUGCCAGCAGCCGCGGUAAUCUGAGCGGGCUGGCAAGGC
rnacentral:rRNA from 1 species